rnacentral:lncRNA from 1 species
UGAAGUUGUACUUAGAGGGUUCUCCAAAUUUCUGAACACCGAAAUUGUGAUUAUGGUUAUGAGGAGGAGCAGAAAAGGAGAGUGAUAGAUGUGAUUACAAAGUAUCAAACACAGAUAUUCUUUCUCAAUGCCAUGCGCGCGACAACCCUCUACCUUUUAGCGGUUCUCCUUGAUUGACCAUUUAUAGCCUAAUAAUUGGA